rnacentral:rRNA from 1 species
UACGUAGGGGGCAAGCGUUGUCCGGAUUUAUUGGGCGUAAAGCGCUCGCAGGUGGUUCGUCGCGUCGUGCGUGAAAGACCCCGGCUCAACUGGGGAGGGUCACUCGAUACUGAUCGACUCGAAGGCAGGAGAGGGAAGUGGAAUUCCUGGUGUAGCGGUGAAAUGCGUAGAUAUCAGGAGGAACACCGGUGGUGUAAACGGCUUUCUGGACCAUAACUGACGCUGAGGCGCGAAAGCGUGGGGAGCAAACAGG